rnacentral:rRNA from 1 species
GGUCAAGUGAAGAAGCGCAUACGGUGGAUGCCUUGGCAGUCAGAGGCGAUGAAAGACGUGGUAGCCUGCGAAAAGCUUCGGGGAGUCGGCAAACAGACUGUGAUCCGGAGAUGUCUGAAUGGGGGAACCCAGCCAUCACAAGAUGGUUAUCUUACACUGAAUACAUAGGUGUAAGAGGCGAACCAGGGGAACUGAAACAUCUAAGUACCCUGAGGAAAAGAAAUCAACCGAGAUUCCCUUAGUAGUGGCGAGCGAACGGGGACCAGCCCUUAAGUUGUAUUGAGAUUAGCGGAACGCUCUGGAAAGUGCGGCCAUAGUGGGUGAUAGCCCUGUACGCGAAAAUCCCUUUGCAAUGAAAUCGAGUAGGACGGGGCACGAGAAACCUUGUCUGAAUAUGGGGGGACCAUCCUCCAAGGCUAAAUACUACUGACUGACCGAUAGUGAACCAGUACCGUGAGGGAAAGGCGAAAAGAACCGCGGAGAGCGGAGUGAAAUAGAUCCUGAAACCGUAUGCGUACAAGCAGUGGGAGCCCACUUUGUUGGGUGACUGCGUACCUUUUGUAUAAUGGGUCAGCGACUUAUUUUCAGUGGCGAGCUUAACCGAAUAGGGGAGGCGUAGCGAAAGCGAGUCUUAAUAGGGCGUCUAGUCGCUGGGAAUAGACCCGAAACCGGGCGAUCUAUCCAUGGGCAGGUUGAAGGUUGGGUAACACUAACUGGAGGACCGAACCGACUACCGUUGAAAAGUUAGCGGAUGACCUGUGGAUCGGAGUGAAAGGCUAAUCAAGCUCGGAGAUAGCUGGUUCUCCUCGAAAGCUAUUUAGGUAGCGCCUCAUGUAUCACUGUAGGGGGUAGAGCACUGUUUCGGCUAGGGGGUCAUCCCGACUUACCAAACCGAUGCAAACUCCGAAUACCUACAAGUGCCGAGCAUGGGAGACACACGGCGGGUGCUAACGUCCGUCGUGAAAAGGGAAACAACCCAGACCGUCAGCUAAGGUCCCAAAGUCAUGGUUAAGUGGGAAACGAUGUGGGAAGGCUUAGACAGCUAGGAGGUUGGCUUAGAAGCAGCCACCCUUUAAAGAAAGCGUAAUAGCUCACUAGUCGAGUCGGCCUGCGCGGAAGAUGUAACGGGGCUCAAACCAUGCACCGAAGCUACGGGUAUCACCUUUGGUGAUGCGGUAGAGGAGCGUUCUGUAAGCCUGUGAAGGUGAGUUGAGAAGCUUGCUGGAGGUAUCAGAAGUGCGAAUGCUGACAUGAGUAACGACAAUGGGUGUGAAAAACACCCACGCCGAAAGACCAAGGUUUCCUGCGCAACGUUAAUCGACGCAGGGUUAGUCGGUCCCUAAGGCGAGGCUGAAAAGCGUAGUCGAUGGAAAACAGGUUAAUAUUCCUGUACUUCUGGUUAUUGCGAUGGAGGGACGGAGAAGGCUAGGCCAGCCUGGCGUUGGUAGUCCAGGUUUAAGGUGGUAGGCUGAGAUCUUAGGUAAAUCCGGGAUCUUAAGGCCGAGAGCUGAUGACGAGUGUUCUUUUAGAACAUGAAGUGGUUGAUGCCAUGCUUCCAAGAAAAGCUUCUAAGCUUCAGGUAACCAGGAACCGUACCCCAAACCGACACAGGUGGUUGGGUAGAGAAUACCAAGGCGCUUGAGAGAACUCGGGUGAAGGAACUAGGCAAAAUGGCACCGUAACUUCGGGAGAAGGUGCGCCGGUGAGGGUGAAGCAUUUACUGCGUAAGCCCACGCCGGUCGAAGAUACCAGGCCGCUGCGACUGUUUAUUAAAAACACAGCACUCUGCAAACACGAAAGUGGACGUAUAGGGUGUGACGCCUGCCCGGUGCCGGAAGGUUAAUUGAUGGGGUUAGCGCAAGCAAAGCUCUUGAUCGAAGCCCCGGUAAACGGCGGCCGUAACUAUAACGGUCCUAAGGUAGCGAAAUUCCUUGUCGGGUAAGUUCCGACCUGCACGAAUGGCGUAACGAUGGCGGCGCUGUCUCCACCCGAGACUCAGUGAAAUUGAAAUCGCUGUGAAGAUGCAGUGUAUCCGCGGCUAGACGGAAAGACCCCGUGAACCUUUACUAUAGCUUUGCACUGGACUUUGAAUUUGCUUGUGUAGGAUAGGUGGGAGGCUUUGAAGCGUGGACGCCAGUCUGCGUGGAGCCAACCUUGAAAUACCACCCUGGCAACUUUGAGGUUCUAACUCAGGUCCGUUAUCCGGAUCGAGGACAGUGUAUGGUGGGUAGUUUGACUGGGGCGGUCUCCUCCUAAAGAGUAACGGAGGAGUACGAAGGUGCGCUCAGACCGGUCGGAAAUCGGUCGUAGAGUAUAAAGGCAAAAGCGCGCUUGACUGCGAGACAGACACGUCGAGCAGGUACGAAAGUAGGUCUUAGUGAUCCGGUGGUUCUGUAUGGAAGGGCCAUCGCUCAACGGAUAAAAGGUACUCCGGGGAUAACAGGCUGAUACCGCCCAAGAGUUCAUAUCGACGGCGGAGGGGCUGAAGCCGGUCCCAAGGGUAUGGCUGUUCGCCAUUUAAAGUGGUACGCGAGCUGGGUUUAGAACGUCGUGAGACAGUUCGGUCCCUAUCUGCCGUGGACGUUUGAGAUUUGAGAGGGGCUGCUCCUAGUACGAGAGGACCGGAGUGGACGAACCUCUGGUGUUCCGGUUGUCACGCCAGUGGCAUUGCCGGGUAGCUAUGUUCGGAAAAGAUAACCGCUGAAAGCAUCUAAGCGGGAAACUUGCCUCAAGAUGAGAUCUCACUGGAACCUUGAGUUCCCUGAAGGGCCGUCGAAGACUACGACGUUGAUAGGUUGGGUGUGUAAGCGCUGUGAGGCGUUGAGCUAACCAAUACUAAUUGCCCGUGAGGCUUGACCAUAUAACACCCA